UACGGAGGGUGCAAGCGUUGUUCGGAAUUAUUGGGCGUAAAGGGCAGGUAGGUUGUCUUAUAAGUUUACUGUGAAAUCCCUGGGCUCAACCUGGGAAUGGCAGUGGAUACUGGAAAGCUAGAGUGCGGUAGAGGGUAGUGGAAUUCCCGGUGUAGCAGUGAAAUGCGUAGAGAUCGGGAGGAACACCAGUGGCGAAGGCGGCUACCUGGACCAGCACUGACACUGAGGCACGAAAGCGUGGGGAGCAAACAGG
rnacentral:rRNA from 1 species